ACUAUUUGACAAACCUGAAGUAGUUAAUGCCUGCUUCUUAGGUUUCCACUAUAAAUAGAAGACCAAUGAUCCUUGUAAUUUCUGACUGUCUGAUUGUGGCAGCCAAGACUGAAUGGGGGAAAUACAG
rnacentral:snoRNA from 1 species